ensembl:snRNA U6 U6 spliceosomal RNA
GUGCUCGCUUUGGCAGCACAUGUACUAAAAUUGGAACGUCACAGAGAUCAGCAUGGCCCCUGCGCAAGGAUGACACGCAAAUUCAUGAAGCGUUCCAUAAUUUU